rnacentral:rRNA from 1 species
GAUGAACGCUGGCGGCGUGCUUAACACAUGCAAGUCGAACGGUGAAGGCGGAGCUUGCUCUGCUGGAUCAGUGGCGAACGGGUGAGUAACACGUGAGCAAUCUGCCCCUGACUCUGGGAUAAGCGCUGGAAACGGCGUCUAAUACUGGAUACGAGCUGCGAAGGCAUCUUCAGCAGCUGGAAAGAAUUUCGGUCAGGGAUGAGCUCGCGGCCUAUCAGCUUGUUGGUGAGGUAAUGGCUCACCAAGGCGUCGACGGGUAGCCGGCCUGAGAGGGUGACCGGCCACACUGGGACUGAGGCACGGCCCAGACUCCUACGGGAGGCAGCAGUGGGGAAUAUUGCACAGUGGGCGAAAGCCUGAUGCAGCAACGCCGCGUGAGGGACGACGGCCUUCGGGUUGUAAACCUCUUUUAGCAGGGAAGAAGCGAAAGUGACGGUACCUGCAGAAAAAGCGCCGGCUAACUACGUG